rnacentral:rRNA from 1 species
AUUGAACGCUGGCGGCAUGCUUUACACAUGCAAGUCGAACGGUAACAGGCCGCAAGGUGCUGACGAGUGGCGAACGGGUGAGUAAUGCAUCGGAACGUGCCCAGUCGUGGGGGAUAACGCAGCGAAAGCUGCGCUAAUACCGCAUACGAUCUAUGGAUGAAAGCGGGGGACCGUAAGGCCUCGCGCGAUUGGAGCGGCCGAUGUCAGAUUAGGUAGUUGGUGGGGUAAAGGCUCACCAAGCCAACGAUCUGUAGCUGGUCUGAGAGGACGACCAGCCACACGGGGACUGAGACACGGCCCAGACUCCUACGGGAGGCAGCAGUGGGGAAUUUUGGACAAUGGGCGCAAGCCUGAUCCAGCAAUGCCGCGCGCAGGAAGAAGGCCUUCGGGUUGUAAACUGCUUUUGUGCGGAACGAAACGGUCCUGGUUAAUACCCGGGGCUAAUGACGGUACCGUAAGAAUAAGCACCGGCUAACUACGUGCCAGCCGCCGCCGUAACAC